CCUACGGGAGGCAGCAGUGGGGAAUAUUGGACAAUGGGCGAAAGCCUGAUCCAGCCAUGCCGCGUGUGUGAAGAAGGCCUUCGGGUUGUAAAGCACUUUCAGUGGGGAAGAAAGCCUUGGGGCUAAUACCCUCGAGGAAGGACAUCACCCACAGAAGAAGCACCGGCUAACUCCGUGCCAGCAGCCGCGGUAAUACGGAGGGUGCGAGCGUUAAUCGGAAUUACUGGGCGUAAAGCGCGCGUAGGCGGUCUGAUAAGCCGGUUGUGAAAGCCCCGGGCUCAACCUGGGAACGGCAUCCGGAACUGUCAGGCUAGAGUGCAGGAGAGGAAGGUAGAAUUCCCGGUGUAGCGGUGAAACGCGUAGAGAUCGGGAGGAAUACCAGUGGCGAAGGCGGCCUUCUGGACUGACACUGACGCUGAGGUGCGAAAGCGUGGGUAGCAAACAGGAUUAGAUACCCGUGUAGUC
rnacentral:rRNA from 1 species